rnacentral:misc_RNA from 1 species
GCACGCUGUCACUCUUUCUCCACCAGUCUCUGUGGUUGCCUGCAGCGAAAGACACACGCCCGCUCCCUCGCGACUUUCCUUUCACCGUCGAUAGACAUCCCCAUCAGCCACUUUCCCUUCUCUCUCGCUCACUCGCUCUCUCGCCGUUGUAUCCGUGAUCGCUGGCCAUGAGCGCGCCCGCGAGUGUGGAGGCGCUGCGGCGGCAGCUGCAGGCGGAGCAAGACGCGCACGCAGCGACCAUGGCGCAGCUGCAGGAGCAAACGCGCACAUUCCAGGCAGUGCUGGCGGAGCAGCAGGAGGCCUUCACAGACCUCAUCACCCGUGUAACGGAGCUUCGUGUGGCGAAGGGCGAGUGCAUGGCUGCGCAAGUAGCCGGUCGCACACAGCACAUGACCUUCAAUACCGGCUCUGCCCUGCUUGACGGCUUCUUGUACAGUCUGCAUGCGAAGCUGGAGGAUCCAGAGAUGUCGGUCGCCACCUCCGUUCUCCAGAAACUCGAGAACGCCGCGCUGGAAGCGCUCACGCCGUACGGGCCGGGGCGCGUGUCUGCCCUCUUAACCAGUAACGCCUCUGCUGUGCGCACGACGGGCCUCCUCGUGCUGUUCCCCAAUGACGUGCGUGGCGUGCGACAGUGGGCGCGGAAGCACCUGAGCAGCUGUGCUUCCUGCGCCGCUCGACAGGCGCAGCUGCCGGCGUGGACGCCGUACCGCUACGACAGCAAAGGGACCGGCUUCGCUGCAGCCCCCAACCUUCGAGCGAUUCCGAACAAGCACUACCACCACGUCGCCAUCUCCCUUUUGCAGGAGCGCAGCAUAGCGGACCGGAUGGACACCGAGAACCAGCUCGUCAUCAUGCGCGCCACGGCGCUUGUGCGCGUGCAGUCAGCGCAGACAGGACAGCCGCUAGCGGAUUCGGCGACUACAUGUGCGCAGAUGACCAGCAGUCUGCAGGCCUUCUUGGCAGAAACGAUGACGGAGCUCCGCAGCAACAUCAGUGUUUCUGCUCCGUGGAGCACCGGCGCCAACCCGAACAGCGAGCUCUCUGCAGCCAUCGAAAUCCUUCUCCACAUGGUUGAACCAAGCGUGCAGGUGCGGCCCAUGCAGCAAGUCGCCGUCAACUCCACUGGUGCCUCGUGCACCCUUGUGGAGAUUGAGGCGACGGUGAGUGUGCCGCUUCACGUCUCGGCACUGGCGCCGCUGCUUCGCUUGAUGGAUGACCCGGCUCAGCGCGGCUAUGUGAUUCAGCAAGUUCUCACGCCGCUGGCGCGCCGCAUUGGUGACGCUCUCGGCGACGGCGACUUGGCCGCCCACUACACGUCGACGGGUCUGCGGUUUGCUGAAGCGCUGUAUCACAUUGCCGUGCAUCAGGGCCUCGUGGAAACCGACGGGUCGCCUACCGGAAAAUCCAGCACGAAUCCUUCGUCGAGGUCGUCUCCAGGUGGAAAGGACGGGAAGAGCAAGACACUGGAGCAGCUCUACCUCAUUCUCCAGGCGCUGGCGGUCUUUGGCACCAGCGUCGAUGUGGAGGUGAUCACGCCACACGUGCCGGCAGGCCAGCCGGAGUCGAAACAGGAUGCAAAGAGGGCGGCAUUGCGCCUCGCUCGUGCUCUGCUGCGGCAGUUUGCGGCCCCGAACCCACACGUGGUGCCUCGAGGCGACGAUGUAGACACCGUAAACAUGACCAUCAAGGUUUCGCGUGCCCCGACGACCUUCCUGGAGGUUCUCAAUCGCUCCUUCAGCAGCAACCACCGCCUCCCUCCCACCUCACGCAGCACCGCGCUUGACGCAUUCAUGUCGCCCAAGUCGAAGAUCAGCCUGGGGUUGAAGCUGUUCAGAGAGCUUGUGGUGGAAGUCUAUCGGCCCUAUCACCCCUGCACGGGCAUUGUCUUGGCGGCAGAGAACGGUGUGGGUGGUCGCCCUCGUGCGCCGCCAUGCGUGCCGGUCAUCGACCUUCCUGUGGACGUGGUGGAGGCGAAUGUGCGUGUUGCAGCGUACGUCGAGCAGCGCCUGCAGCAGCUAAACGAGAUAGAGGCGUCAGAUGCCGUUGCAGCGGAGGGCCGACUUGAGCGGGAAGGUAAGGCUUUCGUGCAGCGGGUGGCGUCCACGCUGCAGCAGGCGGCGCCGGCGGAGCGACUAUGCAGGCAGUGGACUGCUGCGCAGAUCACGGUAAACGAGGUGUCGAAAGUGCGCGUGGAUGCCUUGGUGCCGUUUGCGAUGACGGAGGUGGACGCUCGAUCAGCGACGAAGCCGCUGCUAUACCUGCACGUUGUCUACAGCAGCUAGGCAUGAGGGUACCAACUUCACAAAGAAAAAGAAUGAGUGAAGCUAAGCUGCGAGGAGGCCAGAGAGAGAGAGCGUGGGCAUCAGAGAGCAACACGCGCGUCUUGCGUUGCCCAGCGUCUUGCCGCUGCUUCAGAUGGUGGCCGUUCGACAAAGGCCAUGGGCUUGCGUGGUGGUCAUGCGCCCCUUCCCUUUCCUUUUUCGUUUUAAAUCGCGAAACCACUGUGAUGCACGGCGUUCCGCACUGAUGGGCGCUGAUCUCUGCUCUUGCCCUCUUCCCUGAAAACCCCUCUCCCCCCCAAAAAAAAUGAAAACAACGCAAGACAACAAAGACGCCCAUGGCUGUUUGUGUGUACCGAUCGGCUCGUGUGCGUUUUUCCCCAUCCCCUCCCCUCCUCCGUCCCCGCCCCCACCACACACGAGCUAGUGAAGGUGGUGGUGGCUGUUCAACACGGCGCACGCAAGCGCUGCUCAUCUAUAUAUAUUUUUUGUCUCUUCCUCGCCGUUCUCUGCCGCGCAUGCGCUGAACCCACCGCCGCCGUCCUCGCCCCUUCAG